GAAAAGGCGAUGAUGAGAAAGAGUAGAAUCUCACCAUUUUUACACAGAGAGCUUCGGCAGCUGAAAAGAAGCACUAAUGAAGAUUCGAACAUGGUCUCAGAGCUCUGUCCUGAAUUCAGAACCUUGUGAGUAGGGAGCAGCGAGUGGUGGCACUUGUUAUCAAAACCACAGUAUAAGAGUGUUCUUUUUACUCACUCCGUACUUGCUGAGAUGACAGGCGCAAGCCUCUCAUGAAUAAAGGUGGUACCACGGGCAGACCGGCCCCGUCCUUAUC
rnacentral:ncRNA from 1 species